rnacentral:rRNA from 1 species
AUGGAUAUGGAACAUGAAAUACCAAAAAAAUUAGGUGUACUUGCUACCCAUGGAGAUGAGGAACCUCUUAAAACCCUCGAUGCUCGUUAUGUGACAGAAAUUAUGUACUACUUUGAUAAUCCUGAGAAAACCCCAUUCAACUUUGUUAUGGGAGACACGUUGGAUCAACGUGAAUACUUUAGGGAUUAUUGCUUGAAACAAAAAUGGAAACUUUUAUGGGAUCAAAUUUCUAUGUUGCAUUGGUAUGCUCGUCAACUAUGCUUGAAUUAUGAUUAUACUUGUUGCUCUAGGAUGAAGGCUCCACACCUUCCCUUUUCAUGCAAAUUCAAUGUUAAUAAAACCUUAGCUUCUUAUGCUAAUGGUGUAUAUGAUUACUAUGAUGUGGAACAAAUAGAAGACUUUUUUGCUUUUAUGGGUGCUUAUGAGAUUGAAUCUAUGUUUAAAGAGUUUGAUGAUUUAGUUUAUAGACCUGAAAAUUUUGCUAUACUUAAAUAUUGUUAUAAGAAUUAUGAAUACAAUUACAAUAUUGAUGCAUUUAUUGAGAAAGUCUCAGCUGUACAAGAAGAAACUAAUAUUUUGCAGGAAGCUAUGGAAGAAGAAAUUGAUGAAACUGUGAGCUCAUUGGAUGAAAAAGAUGAUGAGGAGAGCAAAGAACAAAAGGAGGAAGAGCGGAUUGAUCACUCAUGCCCACCUUCUAAAUGA